AUCUAAUGUCCUUUGGUAAACAGAUAUUACUCAUAUCUCAGAGUAUGAGCACCUAAAGUUCAUAUAAUGGUCGAUACUUUUGGAAUAUGGUUGUUGCUUCUGCUCACGGGGGUGAGAUACCCUGGAUGCCAUUAAUCAUUGAUUUUAUCCAUUUCCUCCCUAGGACUCCUACUUCAACUAAAAACUGAUGAUGGUCCUGCUUAUACUAGAAAUUGCUCUGAAGAAUUCUUCAAUUUAUGGAAUACUAAUUAUGGGACUAUUCUGGAAUCCCUUAUAACCUACAGGAUCAGGCUAUUGUGGAAUAAUAAUUAAAUGGAAAUGAACAAAAUCUCAUACGGUUCCCACUAUGAUGCAUCUGAC
rnacentral:lncRNA from 1 species